AUUGAACGCUGGCGGCAGGCUUAACACAUGCAAGUCGAACGAGUGGCGGACGGGUGAGUAACGCAUGGGAACGUACCCGGUGGAGGGGGAUAACUAUUGGAAAGGGCAGCUAAUACCGCAUAUCAUCGGAGCGGCCCAGGUGGGAUUAGCUGGUUGGCGGGGUAAAGGCCCACCAAGGCGACGAUCCGUAGCUGGUCUGAGAGGAUGACCGGCCACACUGGAACUGAGACACGGCCCAGACUCCUACGGGAGGCAGCAGUGGGGAAUAUUGCACAAUGGGCGCAAGCCUGAUGCAGCCAUGCCGCGUGUAUGAAGAAGGCCUUCGGGUUGUAAAGGACUUUCGGCAGGGAGGCGGUACCCGCAGAAGAAGCACCGGCUAACUCCGUGCCAGCAGCCGCGGUAAUAC
rnacentral:rRNA from 1 species